UCUCCGUUGGUGAACCAGCGGAGGGAUCAUUACCGAGUUUACAACUCCCAAACCCCCUGUGAACUUAUACCAUUUACUGUUGCUUCGGCGGGCCAUGGCCCCGGGGAAGGACAGCGGUCGCCGUCAGGCCUCAGCUGCCCGCCCCCGGAAACAGGCGCCCGCCGGGGAACUCAAACUCUUCUGUAUUUCUUUAUCUAAUAUAUACUGUCUGAGUAAAAACUAAAAUGAAUCAAAACUUUCAACAACGGAUCUCUUGGUUCUG
rnacentral:misc_RNA from 1 species